rnacentral:lncRNA from 1 species
GCUGUUUGUCUACGAGACUAGGACAAGCCCUGCCAAAGCCUAGCGGUUGUUUGAGAACAGUUCGUUGACGAGUCCUGAGGCUGUUCCCGCAUGUGUUUGAGCACAGUUGAUCCCAUUUACCCCACGAGCUCACAACACAGUCUUGUGUGCAUUCAACAAGGCAGUUCUCCCGGGAGCUCGGUUUCGUUGCUUGGUCACAGUGUGAUUCAGGUACGAAACUUAGGUCUGACUGGUCUUGACAUAAGACAUGCCGUUCUUUGCUUCCUUGCCCACAACUGGUGGCACUGUUGAGCGGUAGGCAACUGGCAAAUGGUGCAGCAUACCAAUUGUAGCU